CGGCGGACGGGUGAGUAACGCGUGGGUAACCUGCCUCAUACAGGGGGAUAACAGUUAGAAAUGACUGCUAAUACCGCAUAAGCGCACAGGACCGCAUGGUCAAGUGUGAAAAACUCCGGUGGUAUGAGAUGGACCCGCGUCUGAUUAGCUGGUUGGUGAGGUAACGGCCCACCAAGGCGACGAUCAGUAGCCGACCUGAGAGGGUGGCCGGCCACAUUGGGACUGAGACACGGCCCAAACUCCUACGGAAGGCAGCAG
rnacentral:rRNA from 1 species